AGCUCCAGUAGCGUAUAUUAAAGUUGUUGCAGUUAAAAAGCUCGUAGUUGGAUUUCUGACUCGCCGCCGUGGUCCGGUUCCGCUGAGGAACUGAGCGUCGUGGCGCGCUUGUCAUCCUUCUAGAGAGCCACUGUCUGCCAUUAACUUGGUGUGACGUGUGCGCUCUAGAUCAAUUACUUUGAAAAAAUUAGAGUGUUUAAAGCAGGCUUACGCUGUGAAUACAUUAGCAUGGAAUAAUAAUUUAGGACUUUGGUUCUAUUUUGUUGGUUUCUAGGACUAAAGUAAUGAUUGAUAGGGAUAGUUGGGGGUGCUAGUAUUUCGCGGCCAGAGGUGAAAUUCUUGGAUUCGCGAAAGACUAACUACUGCGAAAGCAUUCACCAAGGAUGUCUUCUUUAAUCAA
rnacentral:rRNA from 1 species